UUAAGUUAUUAAGGGCGCACGGUGGAUGCCUUGGCACUAGAAGCCGAUGAAGGACGUUACUAACGACGAUAUGCUUUGGGGAGCUGUAAGUAAGCUUUGAUCCAGAGAUUUCCGAAUGGGGAAACCCANCAUGAGUUAUGUCAUGUUAUCGAUAUGUGAAUACAUAGCAUAUCAGAAGGCACACCCGGAGAACUGAAACAUCUUAGUACCCGGAGGAAGAGAAAGAAAAUUCGAUUCCCUUAGUAGCGGCGAGCGAAACGGGAAGAGCCCAAACCAACAAGCUUGCUUGUUGGGGUUGUAGGACACUCUAUACGGAGUUACAAAGGACGACAUUAGACGAAUCAUCUGGAAAGAUGAAUCAAAGAAGGUAAUAAUCCUGUAGUCGAAAAUGUUGUCUCUCUUGAGUGGAUCCUGAGUACGACGGAGCACGUGAAAUUCCGUCGGAAUCUGGGAGGACCAUCUCCUAAGGCUAAAUACUCUCUAGUGACCGAUAGUGAACCAGUACCGUGAGGGAAAGGUGAAAAGCACCCCGGAAGGGGAGUGAAAUAGAACCUGAAACCGUGUGCUUACAAGUAGUCAGAGCCCGUUAAUGGGUGAUGGCGUGCCUUUUGUAGAAUGAACCGGCGAGUUACGAUUUGAUGCAAGGUUAAGCAGUAAAUGUGGAGCCGUAGCGAAAGCGAGUCUGAAUAGGGCGUUUAGUAUUUGGUCGUAGACCCGAAACCAGGUGAUCUACCCUUGGUCAGGUUGAAGUUCAGGUAACACUGAAUGGAGGACCGAACCGACUUACGUUGAAAAGUGAGCGGAUGAACUGAGGGUAGCGGAGAAAUUCCAAUCGAACCUGGAGAUAGCUGGUUCUCUCCGAAAUAGCUUUAGGGCUAGCCUCAAGUGAUGAUUAUUGGAGGUAGAGCACUGUUUGGACGAGGGGCCCCUCUCGGGUUACCGAAUUCAGACAAACUCCGAAUGCCAAUUAAUUUAACUUGGGAGUCAGAACAUGGGUGAUAAGGUCCGUGUUCGAAAGGGAAACAGCCCAGACCACCAGCUAAGGUCCCAAAAUAUAUGUUAAGUGGAAAAGGAUGUGGCGUUGCCCAGACAACUAGGAUGUUGGCUUAGAAGCAGCCAUCAUUUAAAGAGUGCGUAAUAGCUCACUAGUCGAGUGACACUGCGCCGAAAAUGUACCGGGGCUAAACAUAUUACCGAAGCUGUGGAUUGUCCUUUGGACAAUGGUAGGAGAGCGUUCUAAGGGCGUUGAAGCAUGAUCGUAAGGACAUGUGGAGCGCUUAGAAGUGAGAAUGCCGGUGUGAGUAGCGAAAGACGGGUGAGAAUCCCGUCCACCGAUUGACUAAGGUUUCCAGAGGAAGGCUCGUCCGCUCUGGGUUAGUCGGGUCCUAAGCUGAGGCCGACAGGCGUAGGCGAUGGAUAACAGGUUGAUAUUCCUGUACCACCUAUAAUCGUUUUAAUCGAUGGGGGGACGCAGUAGGAUAGGCGAAGCGUGCGAUUGGAUUGCACGUCUAAGCAGUAAGGCUGAGUAUUAGGCAAAUCCGGUACUCGUUAAGGCUGAGCUGUGAUGGGGAGAAGACGUUGUGUCUUCGAGUCGUUGAUUUCACACUGCCGAGAAAAGCCUCUAGAUAGAAAAUAGGUGCCCGUACCGCAAACCGACACAGGUAGUCAAGAUGAGAAUUCUAAGGUGAGCGAGCGAACUCUCGUUAAGGAACUCGGCAAAAUGACCCCGUAACUUCGGGAGAAGGGGUGCUCUUUAGGGUUAACGCCCAGAAGAGCCGCAGUGAAUAGGCCCAAGCGACUGUUUAUCAAAAACACAGGUCUCUGCUAAACCGUAAGGUGAUGUAUAGGGGCUGACGCCUGCCCGGUGCUGGAAGGUUAAGAGGAGUGGUUAGCUUCUGCGAAGCUACGAAUCGAAGCCCCAGUAAACGGCGGCCGUAACUAUAACGGUCCUAAGGUAGCGAAAUUCCUUGUCGGGUAAGUUCCGACCCGCACGAAAGGCGUAACGAUUUGGGCACUGUCUCAACGAGAGACUCGGUGAAAUCAUAGUACCUGUGAAGAUGCAGGUUACCCGCGACAGGACGGAAAGACCCCGUGGAGCUUUACUGUAGCCUGAUAUUGAAAUUCGGCACAGCUUGUACAGGAUAGGUAGGAGCCUUUGAAACGUGAGCGCUAGCUUACGUGGAGGCGCUGGUGGGAUACUACCCUAGCUGUGUUGGCUUUCUAACCCGCACCACUUAUCGUGGUGGGAGACAGUGUCAGGCGGGCAGUUUGACUGGGGCGGUCGCCUCCUAAAAGGUAACGGAGGCGCUCAAAGGUUCCCUCAGAAUGGUUGGAAAUCAUUCAUAGAGUGUAAAGGCAUAAGGGAGCUUGACUGCGAGACCUACAAGUCGAGCAGGGUCGAAAGACGGACUUAGUGAUCCGGUGGUUCCGCAUGGAAGGGCCAUCGCUCAACGGAUAAAAGCUACCCCGGGGAUAACAGGCUUAUCUCCCCCAAGAGUUCACAUCGACGGGGAGGUUUGGCACCUCGAUGUCGGCUCAUCGCAUCCUGGGGCUGUAGUCGGUCCCAAGGGUUGGGCUGUUCGCCCAUUAAAGCGGUACGCGAGCUGGGUUCAGAACGUCGUGAGACAGUUCGGUCCCUAUCCGUCGUGGGCGUAGGAAAUUUGAGAGGAGCUGUCCUUAGUACGAGAGGACCGGGAUGGACAUACCUCUGGUGUACCAGUUGUCGUGCCAACGGCAUAGCUGGGUAGCUAUGUGUGGACGGGAUAAGUGCUGAAAGCAUCUAAGCAUGAAGCCCCCCUCAAGAUGAGAUUUCCCAACUUCGGUUAUAAGAUCCCUCAAAGAUGAUGAGGUUAAUAGGUUCGAGGUGGAAGCAUGGUGACAUGUGGAGCUGACGAAUACUAAUCGAUCGAAGACUUAAUCAA
rnacentral:rRNA from 1 species